rnacentral:ncRNA from 2 species
AAAUUAAAUUUGUUAAUAGCUCAUAUAUACCCUGGAAUAAGGCUAGGGAGUCUCUACCGGAUAACCGUAAAUUAUCUGACUAUGAGUGGAAAUUAACUCGUA